CUGAGCCUUCGGGGGACGAUAACGGCGUCGAGCGGCGGACGGGUGAGUAAUGCCUAGGAAAUUGCCCUGGUGUGGGGGAUAACCAUUGGAAACGAUGGCUAAUACCGCAUAAUACCUACGGGUCAAAGAGGGGGACCUUCGGGCCUCUCGCGUCAGGAUAUGCCUAGGUGGGAUUAGCUAGUUGGUGAGGUAAUGGCUCACCAAGGCGACGAUCCCUAGCUGGUCUGAGAGGAUGAUCAGCCACACUGGAACUGAGACACGGUCCAGACUCCUACGGGAGGCAGCAGUGGGGAAUAUUGCACAAUGGGCGCAAGCCUGAUGCAGCCAUGCCGCGUGUGUGAAGAAGGCCUUCGGGUUGUAAAGCACUUUCAGUCGUGAGGAAGGUAGUGUAGUUAAUAGCUGCAUUAUUUGACGUUAGCGACAGAAGAAGCACCGGCUAACUCCGUGCCAGCAGCCGCGGUAAUACGGAGGGUGCGAGCGUUAAUCGGAAUUACUGGGCGUAAAGCGCAUGCAGGUGGUUUGUUAAGUCAGAUGUGAAAGCCCGGGGCUCAACCUCGGAAUAGCAUUUGAAACUGGCAGACUAGAGUACUGUAGAGGGGGGUAGAAUUUCAGGUGUAGCGGUGAAAUGCGUAGAGAUCUGAAGGAAUACCGGUGGCGAAGGCGGCCCCCUGGACAGAUACUGACACUCAGAUGCGAAAGCGUGGGGAGCAAACAGGAUUAGAUACCCUGGUAGUCCACGCCGUAAACGAUGUCUACUUGGAGGUUGUGGCCUUGAGCCGUGGCUUUCGGAGCUAACGCGUUAAGUAGACCGCCUGGGGAGUACGGUCGCAAGAUUAAAACUCAAAUGAAUUGACGGGGGCCCGCACAAGCGGUGGAGCAUGUGGUUUAAUUCGAUGCAACGCGAAGAACCUUACCUACUCUUGACAUCCAGAGAACUUUCCAGAGAUGGAUUGGUGCCUUCGGGAACUCUGAGACAGGUGCUGCAUGGCUGUCGUCAGCUCGUGUUGUGAAAUGUUGGGUUAAGUCCCGCAACGAGCGCAACCCUUAUCCUUGUUUGCCAGCACUUCGGGUGGGAACUCCAGGGAGACUGCCGGUGAUAAACCGGAGGAAGGUGGGGACGACGUCAAGUCAUCAUGGCCCUUACGAGUAGGGCUACACACGUGCUACAAUGGCGCAUACAGAGGGCGGCCAACUUGCGAGAGUGAGCGAAUCCCAAAAAGUGCGUCGUAGUCCC
rnacentral:rRNA from 1 species